rnacentral:lncRNA from 1 species
UUUUAUAUGUCUUUUAAUGUCUCGAGUAUUUUGCUUCGUGAUGUAAUAUAAUGUCAAAUGUUAUAUUAUUUGUAAGGCAACUUUUUGUAAACCAUACCAGUUUAUAAUGAAUAUUAUCUACAAAUGAACAUUUAUUUUAGUUUAUCCUAUUCUCUUUGUACUUAUUCUUUUUGAUGUUGACAAAAAGGGGAAGAAAAUUGAGUAAUUGAUUGAGCAUAUUAAUUGAAUUAUUUGAUAAGUGCUUAUUUGAUUAACAAUUUCAAAUGACAUCUGAAUAUAUUGGAAGGU